rnacentral:rRNA from 1 species
AUUGAACGCUGGCGGCAGGCCUAACACAUGCAAGUCGAACGAGUGGCAGACGUGUGAGUAAUGUCUGGAAAACUGCCUGAUGGGGGGGUAUAACUACUGGAAACGGUAGCUAAUACCGCAUCCCAUCGGAUGUGCCCAGAUGGGAUUAGCUAGUAGGUGGGGUAAAGGCUCACCGAGGCGACGAUCCCUAGCUGGUCUGAGAGGAUGACCAGCCAAAAUGGAACUGAGACACGGUCCAGACUCCUACGGGAGGCAGCAGUGGGGAAUAUUGCACAAUGGGCGCAAGCCUGAUGCAGCCAUGCCGCGUGUAUGAAGAAGGCCUUCGGGUUGUAAAGUACUUUAAGUUGGGAGGCGUUACCAACAGAAUAAGCACCGGCUAACUCCGUGCCAGCAGCCGCGGUAAUUC